UUGCUUCGGCAGCAUAUAUGUUAAAAUAGGAAUGACACAGAGAAGAUUAGCAUGGCCCCUGCACCUGGAUGACAGGCAAAUUCAUGAAGCUUUCCAUAGUUUU